GAGUGCGUAAUAGCUCACUGGUCGAGUGACUCUGCGCCGAAAAUGUACCGGGGCUAAACGUAUCACCGAAGCUGCGGACUGUUCUUCGAACAGUGGUAGGAGAGCGUUCUAAGGGCUGUGAAGCAAGACCGGAAGGACUUGUGGAGCGCUUAGAAGUGAGAAUGCCGGUAUGAGUAGCGAAAGAGGGGUGAGAAUCCCCUCCACCGAAUGCCUAAGGUUUCCUGAGGAAGGCUCGUCCGCUCAGGGUUAGUCGGGACCUAAGCCGAGGCCGAAAGGCGUAGGCGAUGGAUAACAGGUUGAUAUUCCUGUACCACCUCCUCACCAUUUGAGCAAUGGGGGGACGCAGGAGGAUAGGGUAAGCGCGGUAUUGGAUAUCCGCGUCCAAGCAGUUAGGCUGGGAAAUAGGCA
rnacentral:rRNA from 1 species